UACGUAGGGGGGCUAGCGUUGUCCGGAAUCAUUGGGCGUAAAGCGCGUGUAGGCGGUCCGGUAAGUCCGCUGUGAAAGUCGGGGGCUCAACCCUCGGAUGCCGGUGGAUACUGUCGGGCUUGAGUACGGAAGAGGCGAGUGGAAUUCCCGGUGUAGAGGUGAAAUUCGUAGAUAUCGGGAGGAACACCAGUGGCAAAGGCGGCGAUCUGGGAAGAUACUGACGCUGAGGUGCGAAAGCGUGGGGAGCAAACAGG
rnacentral:rRNA from 1 species